GCGGAGGCGCUGCCCGACUGCCUUUUCUGCCUUUUUGGCCGGGCUUCUGGGCCUCCUCCGUGUGUGGCCACCUGUCCGGGGAGAGGCUUUAAUCCCCCAGCUGAUCUGAAGAACCUGCCAUCGCCUGUGCCACCCCUCCUUGUCACUGUCAUCUGUGGGCUCUGUGCCUCCUCCUCAUGCCUCUGGUUCCAACACCUGACUCAGCCUCAACCCCCACCCGGCUGCUGUGAACAUUUUUUUGCCUCUCUGCUGGGACCCUGCCUUCCCUCCUGUUGCAGGACUACAGAAGGCAGACCCACCCACUUGGCACCAGGAUCUCGUCCCCUCAGGACUGUUGCUACCUUUGGAGAUAAUCUGACCUAAGCGGAAUAGCUUUCCUCCGCCAUGACUUUCUGCUGUGAUGUUUCUGCCUCACCAAAAGCCCACCGCAAUGAAGCCAACUAACCAUGGACUGAAACUUCUGAAACCAUGAGCCGGGAUACAAUGUCCUCCUUCAAGCUCUUUGUGUCAGGAGCUGUCUAUUAGCCUUGAGAAGAGAAAAGCACUACCCACAGAGUGAAAAAUGUACAAAAUGUGUUACUCCUGGGAGCCCCUUCUCCUUCUCCAAAACCAGUCAGAAGGCGUGGUCUCGUAGAAUACAGCAUUUACAAGCUUGCCUUCCCUCAGAAUCUUUUCAUGAACGAAGGCCAGGUGACACGGGAGUGAGGGGCACACGCUGAGCGUUUACCUGUCCAUCUGAGUUCACUGUUGAGAACUUUUUGUGUUUUCCCCCAAGCACUGGAAGGGUUCAUUAUGGAAAUUCAAGGAGGCGCAGUGUAAUCAUGGGGAUCAUUGUGGACCUGGAAGAAACCAGCCUGAACAUGAAAGGAAGGCGGUCUGUGAGGAAUCUGUGCCAGCUGCCCCGGGGUAAGCCGUGCCAUUUGCCUUCCCCAGAAAGGUGAGGAAACGUCCCCAAGACAAGGUCUUUGCCGCUUCUGGGCCUUGUGCUUGGCAUGAAGCAUGGCGCCAGGUGCAGGGGCUCAGCAGACAUCCACGGAGAAGAUAACCUGUGAGACCGUGUGGCUGGUAAGCGUUGCAGAGGACACGUAGGUGCGGGUGGGACUUGUCAACUGACCACGUGUACCAGCUCUCUCUGACUGGGAGUUCCCUAAUAGUAACAGUGGCUGCCAUCUGCUAAAUUUUGUUUGUUUGUGACAAACAAAGGCAUCUAUUAUUUCCUGAAAUCCCAAGGCAGUUCACACUAGGCCACAGAGAGCGGAGGCUCAGGGGCACAAAGUCAGAAGAACUUGCCUGAUGUCACAAGGGCAGAGGCACCACGAUCAGGAUCCACAGUCAGCCGUGCUGGGCGCUUUCUGCUUCUCCAUGCUGACCCGGGUCCCUGCUGGACAGAGGUCUCCCAGCCGCGCAGGAUGGCGAUAGACACCUUUAGCGGGGGCAGGAAGUCCAACCCGCUUCCCUGCGAGCCAGCUGGGGACGCUUUCGCUGUUUUCUCCUCUUGGAGACAGGCUGGACUUCUACCUGGAAGGCAGCCCUAGCUCUGAUUUGUCACCCUUCAAAACAUCGCCCACCUUCAGGACCCUCAGCCUGGCAGCCUCUGCACCCCCAGCCCUCCGUCUGCGUGUGAACACGCACAGCUUUCCUUUCCGUCCUGCCUCCUCUGUCCUCUGGCUUCAAGGCCAGGUUUUCAUUUCACUAGAAAAACCUUGCUUCAGGUGUUAUUUUAUGCAUGAGCCCUGGCUCCAAAUGAGCACUCAAUAAAUAUGUAUUGAGUCGCAUGCUAAGUUCUAGACAAAAGAAGACAAAGCUUUGGAUCCAGAAGAAGAUGGCAAAGCUAGGGGUGUGGAUGGGGGCAACAACGAGCUACACUCUACUCCUCUGCUCUUCUGUCCUCUCUCCCUGGCUCCCUCUCCCUCCCUCAGCCCAGGCGGGCAGCCGUGCUGUAUUUAGUGUACUGCUGUCAUCUGAUUACAUCCAAACAGACUGAAAAGCUCCAAUCCAUGCCAGCGCAGAAGUGCACACACAGGCGGUGUUUCCGUGGAAAUGCCUCAGCUGUGAUUUACCUCUGACGAGAGCCACCAAACGAAGACCCUCCUUGACCCUCCGAAGAGAAGCAGCCACAACUGCACUAAAGGGCCGAAAAGGGCCCGAACCUCCGACGCGCAGCUUGGCGUGUGCACGUGGGUGUCCCACCUUCACAGCCUCUGACGGGCGCUGUAUUCAAGCGCUGGGCUGGGGGCUGGCGGCAGCUCUGCGAUCAUGUGGUUGAUCUUGUUUGACAGACAGCAGCCCAGCCUGGUGUGCCGAGUACAGAAUGUUCUCUGCUGUGAACUGUGCUUGAACUUUUCCAACCCACUUGGUUGGAGGAACCACACAGACACAGAGGGAAAAGACAGAAGAUAACCCCCACAUCGUUGAAAUCAUGGUGUUCUCGGGGAUUUUGGCUCAGGCCGUUUGCCUUUCACUGCUUGAAAUUAAAAAUCUCAGGCAUUCUACUUCUUGGAAGAGCAAAAUGCUUGUGAUGUCCUUCCUCUAAGACAGGACUUGGCAUCAACUCUGGAAAUUAACAAGUCUGUCACUGUCUCUCUUCAAUUUCUUUUUCUUUUUUUUUUUUUGUCCCUCAUAGGCAUUCAAGGAACAAUAAUAAAAGUUAUUUUCCUGUAAAGGAAAGAUAAGG